UCUCAUAUUGCUGUAGUUGUAACUGCUGAAAACAUUCCUGAACUAAUUCCUAGAAAUGGUGCCGAGUUGACAGUUUGGAGCAGGACAUAACUAAUUCUUGAUUUCCAUUUUGAAUAUACUGACACUUACUUAUAGAGAUCAUCAUAGAUAUUUAUCGAUUGUUUUUAUAUUUUGGAAGAAACUCAAUCACGUGAAAAUUAAAAUAAAAAAUUCAAAUAAAUUUCGUAGUUAUUGCGAUUCAAAGUCACAUCAUUAUUAUAUUGUUUUUUUUUUUUUUUUUAUUAUGUUUUUUGACUUAUAGAAAAUUUAAUAUUUGUUAUCGACCUUGUUUUUUCAUUCUUAUAUACAUCUCUAAUUAACGAAAUGUAACAGCUGAGUAGAGCUGUUCGUUUUCAAUUGAGAGAUUUUUGUGACUGUCUCGUAUUGAAUUGCAAAAUCGUCUAAAGUCACAAAAAUAGUCUCAUUUUAAAUCUUAAGUAUCAUCUCAGACUGUGUUAAAGUACUGAAUUCCGAUAUAAAUUUUAUUUUCCUUUCUUCGAAUGUGGUUUCUUUUGAUUUUCUUCCCAUAUUUUACAUAAUUUAUCGUAUUUUUUCACAAACAAAGACAAAAUGACCACGUUCUAAAAAUUUUGUUUUUAAACUGAACAAAAAUUGCUAAUGAUAGCUUAAAACUUCAGCAACAAUAACGAAUCUUUUGCCAGGCCUGCUAGAAACGAAAUUUCCGAAUAAUUUUGUGAUGUUUGGUCAAGUUUAUACUUAAAUUAGUUUUUUUUUAUUUUAAGUCAGAGUUAAAACUUUAAUUGAAGUAAUAAUAAAGUUUCCAAAACAAAAUUCUUCAAACCAAAAAUCUUUUGCAUUCUUUUUACUAAAAAAAAUAUAAUUUCCGAAUACUCUUGUGAGGCACUGUAUAUUCACUAAGUUCUCUCAUCUGCAAUUCCAAUCUUUUCCCCAAAAAUUAUUUCCUUUUUCGUGGACAUAAUUUCGUAGAUAGAAGAAGAAAUAGUAUAGAAAGGUAAAAGAAAUUGCAAGACGUUGUUGUUUAUUUACUCAUUUCUGAAGUGAUUUUGUGUAGGUUUUAACCAAUUUUAAUUAAAUAAAUCGCUACAUUCUCUGGUUUGUUUAGAUUUUCGAUGUGAGUGGACCACCUCGCUGAGUUUGUAUCCAUUUACUUGUUUCCCAAAAAAAAUGUGUUGUUGAAAUAAAUUUGGAAAACAGAAUUUGAUAGCUAAGCAAAUAAAAUUUCAAUUAAUUUUUAAUUACAAAAUAUAAAAACACAUCUUUUGCAACUGUUUUGUCUAAUACUGUUAUUAAUGAUUCUUUCUUCUUUUUAAAAAAUGCCAAUAUGAUGAGCUGGUUACAUUUUUAAACAUAAUAUUUUACUUAGUGCCUUAAGUUCUUGUGGUUAAAAGAGCUACAAUUAAAAUGGAAAUUUUACAAUAAAUGUUGUUGUUGUUGUUUUUGUAGCGACAGAUGGUAUCAAACUGAUAUGAAAGCAUACAUGAAAUACCCUUAUGACACAUAUCGCAAACUUAAAUAUUUUCUUUCCAGGACCCUAACUAGAUGUACCGCCGGAGCCAUCCACGAACGAAAGGAUCACACAGAAGGACUAAGAUACGAAGAAGACGAAGAAGCGUAAGCUAAUGAGUAAAGUAGCUAAAAAGAAAAGCUUAAAACAAACCGGAAAAAUCAACAGACUGAUUAACAAUACAAAACAAAAUUAUAUAUAAAAUUUAUGUAUAUGUUUAUACAUAGCAAUAUAUAUAAUAACUAUAUGUAUGUAUAUGUAAAUAAGGAAGAAAACAUAGGAAGAGAAUAACAUAAAAAUUAAGAAUAAACGCAGAGAGAAGCAGAAGGAGAGACGGUGAGUUUGAUGCUGGAAAAAGUGAGAAAAGCUUUCCGAGUGCAGGCAAAUUUUCAAAUAGCAGUGCCGCACGUAAACAGAUUUUCUACUUAAACUGACAACAAAAAGGGUAAAGAACCACAGACUUUGUAAACGGAUAAACUCAAAUUAACGUUGAUUUUAUUGUGUGUGAUAUUUAAAAAAUAAGCAUUACUUUAAACACAAAAUAUUGAAGAGGCAAGAACACUGCGUAAAAUAAUACAAAAAUUAGAUAAGAGUUAAACAAUAAAGAGCUACAUUGAGGAAGGAACACAGGACGCUGAAUAUCUAAAAAUGACAUACUCGCACAAUAGCGUUAGUAAUAAUUUUAAAAUGACAACAACCGCAGCAGCAGAUGCGACGACAAUUCGUUUAAAAAAAAUGUCAAAUGGAGGAGGAGUUGGUAAUGUGAACCGCAACACACCGACAACAACUUUAAAUGUAACUGCACAUUCCAACAGUAUUGCUAGCAGUACAAAUUACCAAUCAUAUUAUCAACAACAACAAGUUUUAAGUUCUUCACCACCCGGUUGUGUAAUGUCAUCGGGUGCUUCCACUUCAUCUACAAGCAGUGAUUCCUCGCUAGGUUCUAGUGGUAUUGGUAGUGGACAUUCUUCGUCGCGUCAACGUAAGCAACAGCAGCGUAAACAGCAGCAAAACCAACAACAACAGCAGCAGCGCGAUUCGCCACACCUUUCAAGUGGCACUGAUAGCGCAGUUUUCUUUAGUAAUAAUAAUUAUCAUUACCAAUCGCAUCACGGCGGUAGACGUGGCGGUAGUGCUCAUAAGCAGAGUGAUGGUCUAAAAUCACCUCACUUCCAACAUCUGCAACAACCUCAGCAGCAGGCCCGUCAAUCGCCAGCUGUUAUAUUAGGUGGUGGUGAAAAUCCAAUUGCAAUUAAUAGCAACAGCGGCAGUGCCGGUCGCAAGACACGCGCUCAAUUCGCGAUGAUUAGUAGCCCAUUAUUUGGUAAGUUAUCACCAACACACCUGGUAUUACCCACUGCGUUGACGCAUUUCGCUGGCAGCAAAUGCUUCGAUGCCCCGGCGCCUACAGCGUUACCAAAACCACCGCAACAUUGGACCCUGGGCAAGGCAGAACAUAAAACAACCAGCAGUGCUGGACCCGGACUACACAGUGUAACGACAGCGCGCAACCCAGCACUGGCAGCUGAUGCACAUACCUGUGGUGGUCACGUUGUUAAGCAUUCGAAGCGUAAUUUGCUUGACGAUUUCGAUACGCACAACUUGAAGUUGUUGUUAAAUGUGCAAUCAUAACCGCUAUGCACUCCGAAUAAUAUCCGUACAGCAGUAUAAAUUAAUUCACCAUUUAACUAGCGAUCAUCAAAUAAAUAUAUUAGAAAACAAUGUCUAAAAUCGAUAAGAAAACUGAGUUACCCAUAUGUUAAACGCACGAAUGCAAAAUGUGAUAUUCGCAAUGAACUAUGUAUGAGUGCGCUGCAAAUAAAUAUUAAAUCAAAAUUACCAUCGUAAACAUUUCAAACAAUACAUACAUAUAAUAAUAUUUACAAUUUGCUGACCUGGAAAUUAGUAGAUAACAAAUUUGCAAUCUAGUAAAUGGUGUGAUAAAAAUUUAAACAAAAAGCUAAUCUAAUAAAAUGUACGUGAAAGAUACAAUAUUUGCCUAUUAACGCAAAUUACGACACAAAUAACAACUGCUUGUGAUCUCAAGUAAUAAAAUGAAACAUUUAAUUUUAAUAUCUAAACUAAUUGAACAAACGAAAACAAAUAAAACUAACGGAAAUGCAAACUUUAAAAAUUCAAUAAUUUAGUAAAUUCAAAAUUCUUGUAAAAGAAACUUUGUACAAAUUAUUAUUUUUGCUAUUAAGUUAUAACUAUUAAAGGUUUAAGAAAAUUUUAAAAUAUAAAUCGAAACCGCGAGUUUUCAAUUCAGUCUAAUUACGCAUCUGUAUGGCACUGAAAACAGAAUCAAAAACAACAAACAACACAGAGAAACAUUAGAUAAUAUUAUUCGCCACAAAUAUUGUAUAAUAAUUACUAUUAAAGAACUUUGUGAAUUCUGUCUAUCCUGUUGUUUGCAAAUGGCAAUGACACUAAAAAUAUAACUUUUUUAAAGAAUGAAUUCCAUCAACCCACCAAAGUAAAGAAGCAAAUAGUUGAGCGUUAAUAUAAUACAUACAAAAACAAUUGUAAACAAAAUGCAAUAAAAGCAAUAAAAAUUAACAACGAGGAAAAAACCAUUUAAGCUGUGACCUUAUACGUGCGCUUAAAUAAUGCGGAAUGACCAUGCGUCACACCUUCAGAUAACCAGGACAACAGCAGUUGCAGCUGCAAACAUGUGAACCAAAAAAUGUAUUAACAUAAAAUCACAAUCAGCAGCGACAUUAGAAAUAUAACAUGAAAACAUUCAUCGAGUGGGGGAUAUGUUCAGCAAUGGCGGCAGUCAAUAUAAAAACAUUUUUUGUAACAUAUGCCAAAAUUUAUUUUACUUACCAUAAACAACAAGAUUCUCAUUAUUCGUAUUAAAUUUUAACAAUUUAUCAUUUUUAAUUUGUGAAACAAAUUAAUUGUAGAGAAUUAAUUAAAGCUAGUACCCUUGUACAAUAAGCGUUGCUUUUGCGCCAACACAUCAAGUUCCGAUAUCCUUAUUUUUUCUAUAUUUUUGAUUGAGGGUUCUAUGCUAGUAUUUGAUUGCUUUUUUUUUAAUUAAUAAUAACAAAUUGAAAACGAAAGUAAAUAGAUGUAGCUCUUUGUACCUAACAGGAUUUUAACUUGAAAUGUAUUCGCAUAUGUAAUGCUACAUAUAAAAUGUGCCGAUUUAAAUAAAAAAAAAAUUACUUAAAAACCAAAAAUUUGAAAGUUUUGGCGCGGAUGUUACGUUUUUGUACUUUACAUUUAAAUAUAAUUGUAAUUUAAAUAAUAUAGUUAUAUUUAUUUAUAGUUUUCUAACUUUUAAUUCAGCAUCUUUCAUAGUAACUGUAUAAUUUCAUUACUUAAUAUGUAUUUACAUAAGUCUUCUGGACUGUAGUAGGUAAUAAUUUGUAUUAUAUAAAAAAAAAAUUGAGAAUACUUCUCAAUGUAAAUAUAAGAACGUUAACAUUUUGAAAAUUUGUAUUAGCGAAAUAACAUGCUGAAAAGUAUUUGCAGAAAUGACAAAAAGACCCAAAGAUAAAUGUUAACAAAUUUUAAACUAGAAAUUGUAAAUUUUAAAAUGUUUGAUGAUACUUUUCCAUCAUCAAGCCAUGUACAAACCAUAAAUACAACAAUAGAUAAAAGACAAAAACCAAACGACCGCAAGGCCCAAUACAAAAAUGCGCUUUAAUUUAUUAUUACAAACCACAUUUAUUCAAAAGACGCCUGCCAAGUGAUGAAAUUUUGAAGAGCUGUUCCUUAAAUAAAUGUACAUUUAUAGUCGGAAAGUUGUUCAAAAAUCCCAGAACUUAACAAACAUCAUUUCAUGCAAUUCUGUACGCUCUGGCGUACAUAUGUUUGUAUUUACAUUAGAAAGUGCAAGAGAAGAGUUACAUACAUAUGUAAUAAAAUUUCAACCAUCAAAUUAAUAGCUUAUUAAAGCUAAAAAACGUAAUUUUCAAUUAAUGCUAGUCCUUAAUGCAAAAAAAAAAGUUAAUAAUCGGCGUUUGUAUGUAUAUUUUCCUAUAUCAAUUUUGGCCAUUACAAAUAUGAAAAAUUGUAAUUAAAAAUAUAAAUAUUGAUUGGAAUUAAUUUUUAAAAUCAGAGCAUACUAAAGUUACUUCUUUUUACGAUGAAAAUUUAAAGUGUAAAUUGAUUACAACUGCCUUAAAACAGUAUCCUGAUGAGUGAUUGUUUGCGGCUACAGCGGAGCACUUAAGCCCAGUACCUUGUUUUUUUAGUUCAUAAUAAUUUUUUUUUUUUUUUGGGGGAUACCAGAUAGUUGUUACUGUCUGAUAACUGAUUUAUAUCAAAUUAAAUUGUGAUGGAUUAUUAAGCAUUUGCCGGCAAUACGGUACAACAAUGUCCGACUUACCAUUAAGAAAAUUAUGAUAAUAAAUAUGUAUGUAUAAAAGGUAUGCUUAAAAAUAGUUCUUGUUUGAAUGGCUUCGAAACAUUCUUCUUAUCACACUUGCGCAUGAUUGUAAAGUAAAAGAUCUAGUUCCCUAGAUUUGUGUAAAAAAGUAAGAGGUAUUGUGUGUGGGAAGAGAAUGCUUCGAGUGUCGUUGUAAACAAUAAUUACUAAAUCUGAACUGCUGUUGCCAAUUUUUGUGAAUAUGUUGCAAAUGUUAGUUGCAAUCUUAAAUGGUAAAUAUUUUGAAUAUUGUGAUGCUAUAUACGUAUGUUAGUAUGUAUUGAAUAUAUUGUAUUUUGCUUACUUUUUGUUAGUAAUAUGAAAUUGUAUAUGACCCAUGUGUGAACAUACAAUAUAAUUGUUGAACUCCGCAAGUAAUCUGUAAUGAUAGUAAUAUAAAAAUUUGACAUUUUUCUCCGACUUCUUCUAGGAAGAAGCCAGAAAGAAUCAACAAUUAUUUAGUUAUUGGACGCGCACAACGUAAUAUGAAAAUGAAACUUAGUUGAACAAUGAAAAUUAUUAAUAAUAGUCAUGUGACUAGUUGAUGGGUGUGCGAUGAAUGAACUACACAAAUUUGUUAAUUUUUAACAUACCACUAUAGAUAUGUAUAGGUAUAUUGUACGUUUUGAAUACAUAAAACAAAAAUUAUUUUGAGUUAACAGAAAGUUUAUAUUCGCACAUAAACCCAAUUAAUUCAUAGGUACAUAUGUGUAUGUAAAACAGAUUGAAUUUGCAUUUUAAAAUUUUCUUUACCAAAUGUACGCUUUUAUUUUGUGUAAAUUAUUAGUACACAUUGCAUAUAUAGACCUUUUCAGAGCAAAAGCAAAAGCCACUUGCAAUUGAUAUAUUAAUAUAAUAUUGUAUUAUUGCGUGCUAAACUUAUCUUUUACUUUGAAAACGACUAUGUAAACUUUGCAAAAAAAAAAAUAAGUAAAAAGCAAGUUAUACAUACAUAUUUUAAACCUUAGCCUGUUCAUAUACGGAUGACAUAUA